GAUCCUGGCUCAGGAUGAACGCUAGCUACAGGCUUAACACAUGCAAGUCGAGGGGCAGCAUGAACUUAGCUUGCUAAAGUUUGAUGGCGACCGGCGCACGGGUGAGUAACGCGUAUCCAACCUACCCUUGUCCAUCGGAUAACCCGUCGAAAGGCGGCCUAACACGAUAUGCGGUUCACCGCAGGCAUCUAACGUGAACGAAAUGUGAAGGAGAAGGAUGGGGAGUGCGUCUGAUUAGU
rnacentral:rRNA from 1 species